AACGAACGCUGGCGGCGUGGAUAAGACAUGCAAGUCGAACGCUGAUUUCAGGGUAGCAAUAUUCUGGAGUCGGAGUGGCGCAAGGGUGCGUAACACGUGGGUAAUUUGCCAUGAAGCCCGGAAUAACUCGCUGAAAGGCGAGCUAAUACCGGAUGUGAUCUUCGGGAGGCAUCUCCUGAACCUUAAAGCUGGGGACCGGUAACGGACCGUCGGCGACUUCCUUUGUAUAAGCCCGCCGGCCGUACUCAGCUAGUUGGUUGAGGUAACGGGACGU
rnacentral:rRNA from 1 species